rnacentral:rRNA from 1 species
UACGUAGGUGGCAAGCGUUAUCCGGAAUUAUUGGGCGUAAAGAGCGCGCAGGUGGUUGAUUAAGUCUGAUGUGAAAGCCCACGGCUUAACCGUGGAGGGUCAUUGGAAACUGGUCGACUUGAGUGCAGAAGAGGGAAGUGGAAUUCCAUGUGUAGCGGUGAAAUGCGUAGAGAUAUGGAGGAACACCAAUAGCGAAGGCAGCUCGCUGGGACGUUACUGACACUGAGGCGCGAAAGCGUGGGGAGCGAACAGG